rnacentral:rRNA from 1 species
GAUGAACGCUGGCGGCGUGCCUAAUACAUGCAAGUCGAGCGAACGGACGAGAAGCUUGCUUCUCUGAUGUUAGCGGCGGACGGGUGAGUAACACGUGGAUAACCUACCUAUAAGACUGGGAUAACUUCGGGAAACCGUAGCUAAUACCGGAUAAUAUUUUGAACCGCAUGGUUCAAAAGUGAAAGACGGUCUUGCUGUCACUUAUAGAUGGAUCCGCGCUGCAUUAGCUAGUUGGUAAGGUAACGGCUUACCAAGGCAACGAUGCAUAGCCGACCUGAGAGGGUGAUCGGCCACACUGGAACUGAGACACGGUCCAGACUCCUACGGGAGGCAGCAGUAGGGAAUCUUCCGCAAUGGGCGAAAGCCUGACGGAGCAACGCCGCGUGAGUGAUGAAGGUCUUCGGAUCGUAAAACUCUGUUAUUAGUGAAGAACAUAUGUGUAAGUAACUGUGCACAUCUUGACGGUACCUAAGCAGAAAGCCACGGCUAACUACGU